rnacentral:lncRNA from 1 species
UGGAAAUCACAUCCUUCAAAGUCAAAACUCGCAUUCUGCCAGUGUUGACCUUUGUCCAUUCAAAAUUCAAUAUCUGGAGAUGUUGAUAUCCAAUUGAUGCAAACUCAAUUGUUUUGGAUUCCUGACUCAAAGUUGUAUAAACUCUCCAAAUUUCAGCCAAAAAAGAUGUCAUAUGAGGGUGAUAUGAUUUUUCAAAGAUGACAGCUAAAUUCUGCCAGCAAUCAGGUUUCGUGAAGAAACAAAUCCAAAUUACAUCCCGAAGCAUCAAAACCGAC